UGAAAUAUCAAUUCCAAAUGGACAGAGACGAGGUCUUUUAAGUGGAAAAACAUCCUGUUUUGGUGGCUGUACUUAGGUAACUAUGUUGAUUCACUUGCCAGUAAGAAAAUGCAGUGGCCAGCUCUGCUGGGGCCACCUGUUAAGGCUACUCUGGGCCUCACGGUUUGAGAAAGGUCUGUCCAGGGGAGAGUGGGAGUGGUUUAAGGGCCUAGAAGCCAGCUCUUGUGGUUCAAUGUGACGGCGGGUGUGGAGCUGGGGGCAGGGCUCUUCAGGGCAUGAGUGGGUAAAUGGAUGGGCUUCUAGGACGAGCCCCUGUGACUUUGCCAGGUUUACAUCCGUCCAAUACAAAUUUGCAGACGUGCUCUAGAAGCUUCUGCUGGGGCUGAUGGACAGGCCUGGUUUAGGCGGAGCAUUCAGUCACUUGGAUCAAGGAUUAUCUACGGCAGUAAGGGGGAGUCAUCAUAGUUGGAGCAGCAGCCACCUUCAUUCUAUGCUCAGCUCUAGGCGAAGGGUUUUGGAGCCUGUGGGUACCCUGUGUUCUCUCAGUUUAUCUGUAAAACAAGUUACAGAGUUAUAACUAGUUUAAACCUAUUUUUAAAAUGUUGACACUGGCGCCCCUCAAGGCUCGGCCUGUGGGACCCGUGCCGCUGUUUGCUUGUGUAACUCUGAGGUUCUGCAGACUUCAUGGUCCCACUGCAGAGUAUACGAUAACUGCUUGCAUCUGAUUUUCCCAAACCCCAGGACAGGCCAAGAAUUCGUUACACACAACUGCAGGGGCCCUGUGGUGUGGAUGUGCGGGUACCACAACCUUUCUGCUGCUCUCUGCCUUUCCCCAACUCGGCCUUCACCUCCAGAGUCGGCUUUAGGGUGGUAGAAGCUUCCCUCGACUGGGAGGCCCUGGAACUUCCGCGCUAGGAAUUCGGCGACCAGUCCAUAUAAUUCCCCUUUUCUUUGCAUUUGUAGCAAUAGUUUUAACAAUGUGACUAUAGAUCUACAGAGGAAGGAAAAAGGAGAUGGUUUUAUUUUCAGGGUAACAAUCUGUGGUGUGGGAAGUGCGGUCUUGGAGGAACCGUAUGCACAUGCACUCAGGAGGGGAGGAGGCCCUUCGAGGCAUUUAAACGCUCCGGGAUUUCUUAGCCUGCUGUGCGUGUUCAUGGGGUUCGUGGAAUGUCUAGCACACGCGCAGUGAGUUAACCUGUAACGUCCCAUGUUCUCCUUGGGGUGAGUGUAACAUUUGAAAUAAGGUGGACGCAGCGCAUCACAUCCGAAGGUGAGCUGUUGGACAGAGACACUUUAAUGCGCAGCCUCUGUAAACAGCUGGGACUGGCUCAGGGUCUGCGGCUUCUGAUGGGAAAGAAUGCUGUGAGGCCCUUCUGUCUAGUCUGGGCUGCAGGCAGGGUCCCAGGGUGGGGUGUCUGGUUGGCCGGAGUCAGGAAUCCACCAGUGGGCAGCAUUCCUCUGAAGCAGCUUCUGCCUGAUUGUGGGAGGAGACGUCAUGCUGGUUAACUGACCACACAGAAAUUACUGACGUGGGGGCUUGGGGCCAGCCCUCCCUGUGAUGCCUGCUUACAUUUCUCUCCUGGCCUCAUCAUAGCCAGAGGCCAUCUUGUCUGUAAGCAGGGGGUGCGAUGUUCACAUAGUAAUUUAUUGUAUUAACCUUUUUAUUACUAUUUUAGUAAGUCUUUUUUUUUUUUUUUUUUAAAGAGGUGGGGUCUUGCUGCAUUGCCCAGACUAGUCUUGAACUCCUGGCCUCAAGAAAUCUUCACACCUCAGCCUCCCAAACUUCUGGGCUUACAGUUGGAGCCACUGCACGCGGCCUGCAGCCGUGUUUUUAAAACUCAACAGUUAAAAACCCCACUUCUCCCACUCCCUCCAGCAGGCUCUUUGACCUUGCACAAACUGGGUGUCAUGACCUUGGCCCCCCUUUUAUUUUUCCCUUUGGCCUCAAGUUCUGAUGAGAACAGCAGUUACAAAAUGGGCACUAGUUGAUUCUUCUGUAAAUAAAGCCAGAAUUCUCACCAGUUAGAGAUGUUUGUCCAUGGGAGUCCAGAAAGCUGUUUUGAAUGAAGCCUGUAGCAAAUAAGUAAAGAACUAAACCCUUGGUCCUCUGCUUAGAGCUGAGAAAUGUGUUAGUUGCUGACACCCGUUAAUCUAUGCUCAUGUGAUGCAUCUCAUCAUGGGAAAUGGAGUUGCCUGUGGAAUCAAGCCUGGCUCAUGGUGGCAUGUUGGGGGAUGCUCUGGGCUGUCAGUCACUUAAAUGCCAGUAGACAUGGAAACUCAGCAUCGUGUGCAGAGCUUGGGCAACUGGAGUGGAUUCACUUUAGAGACCACACAGCUGGUGAGCAAGGUGGGCAUCCAGACAGAAGGCCCCGACGUGCCUGCCAUGCAGUGGUGAAUCAGAAACUCGUUAGCAACGAAGUGAAGCUCACCUGUGGGUCCCAGCUACUUGAGAGGCUGAGGCGGGAGGACUGCUUGAGCCAGAAGGUCAAGGUUGCGGUGAGCGAUGAUCAUACUGCUGCACUCCAGCCUCGAUGACAGAGCAAGGCUCUGACUUACAAAAUUAAGUAAGCUAAACGUUUCUCUCCAUAGCAGGAAGGAUAAUUUAUCAAAGUAAUUGCAACAGAAAUCCUAGAUGAUGUAAUUUCAGCGCUAAGGGAGCUGUCCAGCCUUUGUGGCGAAGGGAGCUGCCGAGCCUACAUGGCUCAGAGAAGCAGUAACGGGCCAAGUGCUGGUGCCGCUGCCCUCCCAUCCUGAUUGUUUUAACUGUUUAGGAUCUGUUUCCUGCCUUUUCUGUUUUCCUGUAUCUCCCUUUUGGAUAGUAGUUAGGGAUACGUAGUUUGCUACUUUAUAGCUAAGCAUCAGUAAAAUAGGUUGUCAUUUUGAGAAUUAACCACUGUGCUUUUGUGUAUUUUAAGGGCAGAAAACAAAGGAAGCAGGUGACAGGAGUGAAUAGAUUUAGAUGAAUAUCUAACACUCAGCACCACUCUGAUGCCUUCUUUCUCUCUUGUGCUUAAUUACAGCCGCCUCCUCUUAGGACAGAACACUUUAAGCUCUGUGAGUAGGAAUUAAACGUUUAUUUUUAAAAUCAGAAGUUGUAGUUAAACAGUAUUUUAUGUGAAUAUCCAGUCUGUAAGUCUUCCCUUGUACUGGUGUGUGGUAUAGAGGAAGGAACGGAGGCUCAGUCACUUAGAUGCCAGCAGACAUGGAAACUCAGCAUUGUGUGCAGAGCUUGGGCAACUGGAGUUGGCUGGGUCUAUGGCAUGGUAUCCUGGUUCCCAUCUGUGAGAUGGAGGUCACGAGGUGGCCUAGGAGAAGGUUCAGUUUGUGGGAUUUAACGGACCUGCCCUGCUCCUUGGGAGCCUCGAGUCUAACUUGGCUUUGGCAGGUUUUAGGGAGAUGCCGGCAGUGCCAUGGGAGCCUCAAGUCUAACUCCGGCAGGUUUUAGGGAGACACCGGCAGUGCCAUCCUCACAGGGCAUCAGGAGGGGCUCUGGUGCCAUCCCCGUCAAGUGUGUCAUGAUCAGCUCAGCUUGCCCAUCUUAGAAGCCACUGGUAGUGUUCUCAUGCCUGUUGUUUCUUGCAUGUUAUUUAGGCUCUGUUCAUGUGGACGCCUAGGAAGUUCCACAGUGAGAGGAGAGCUUUUUGAGCUGCCUUCCUGCCUGGAUGCCAGCCCCACAGAGAACCCUAGCUGCUCAAGGUUGGCCUCUGGCCCUGCCUCACCCGUGGAAGCAUUGAUGAAGUGGGACUUUUUAAGCACACAGUGCCAUUGUGUGGAUCCCCAGGACACUGUGGUGUCCAAGCAUGUGUUCCUGCAGGACGGGACCCUACAGGCGCUGUUGCUGGGAGCUGGCCGAGACGCGCCUGUGACGUGCACAGCUUCUCUCUGCACAGCAGCUCCUGACUCCAAGAUGACUGGGCGGGAAAUGUACAGAGCGCAUCUCCAGCAAAAAGCCGUCGAUUGCCUUCAUCCCGAUAUCCACCACCAUGGCUUUUGUGUUAAUAAGAUGAAUUUGAGCAGUAGAUGGUCUGAGUUCUGGGUGUGCAGGACUGUGCCAUUGCAUUUUUGUUCUCAUGUCUUGAUUAAAGGUGUGAACGGCUCCUGAUUAGGUAAGGUUGCUGUGACCAGGGGCUCUGCAGUAUUGUGACUUGAGGGAACAAGGAGGUUUUCUUUCUCGCAAACCCUUCAGGGGGGACAUUCUAGGCUGGUGACUGCUCCAUGAGGUAUUCAGGGAUCCAGCUUCUGGAAGGGAAGCAAGUGGUAUAGCCAGGAUUGCCUCGCGCUCCAGGCUGUCUCCAGCUUCAGCCUCCCUGGGGUAGAAGCUGCCCCACCAGGGGCCUGGACGUGGAUGUUAGGGCCUGGGGCCAGGGACAGCUACUGAAGGGGGGCUUCAGUCACCGCUGGGUGUGGAAACCGAGGAUGGAAGGUGGAACCAGCCUUAGGCCAGUGCACAGCCUCCCGGGAGUGCUUGUGGGAAGCCCCAGCCACCCUUGGCUGACCCCAAAGCCAGCAUCAAACUCUUCAAGAUUCCCGUGGCCCACCCCUCAGGUUCCUAAAAUGGUUAGGAUUUCCUGGGCUGCAAAUUUUUAGGUCUAGGCUAAAAAGUCCUAGAACAGGCCCACAGGGUUCUUUAUUUGUAAAAACAAAUAAUGAGUGUGCAGUAACUCAGAGCAGUCACUGUGUCCUCACUGCAGGGUCCUUUACGUCAGGUAGAAACAAGUGUGCGAUAACUCAGCAGUCACUGCGUCCUCACUGCAGGGUCCUUUACGUCAGGUAGAAACGAGCGUGCGGUAACUCAGCAGUCACUGCGUCCUCGCUGCAGGGUCCUUUAUGUCAGGUAGAAACGAGCGUGCGGUAACUCAGCAGUCACUGUGUCCUCGCUGCAGGGUCCUUUACGUCGGGUAGAAACGAGUGUGCGAUAACUCAGCAGUCACUGUGUCCUCACUGCAGGGUCCUUUACGUCAGGUAGAAACGAGCGUGCGGUAACUCAGCAGUCACUGCGUCCUCGCUGCAGGGUCCUUUACGUCGGGUAGAAAUGAGCGUGCGGUUACUCGGCAGUCACUGCAUCCUCACUCCAGGCACUGUUCUUUCGUUUCUUAAUUAAAAGCCUUGGGUAAUGAAAACCAUGUUCUCCCCAGAGAGUAGAGUUUCCGGUUACAGAAGCUCACCUGUAAAUGCAGUGCCAGGUUAAAUGCACUGAAAUCCAGGCCAGGCCUUGCUCCCUGCCCACAGCCAAGGUGGGUACUUCAUUUGGAGGUGACCCAGAGGGACGUCUGAGAGGCCUGCCUGUCCGAGGGAGAUGAAGCUGCUGGCCCUCAUGCUCUGCCUCUGGCCUCCAUCAGCUCCUUCCAGCCUGCAAAUUGCCUGCUUUUACAUUGCCUUCAUUGGAAAUAUGUUAGAGAGUUAGGCUGGAGGGACCCCCAUGGAGCCAGCAGAUUGUGAAAAGGUGAGAACCAGAGUUGGGAGGGUGGUGACCACUGCUAAACUGAGAACAGAGGUGGGCUGGAAGGCCCAUCUUCUGUCUAAAGCGUUUUUUAAAGUAAAAACAUAGUGCCUCAGGAGCAUGAGGGCAAGUCACUGUUGCAGAGAACUUACCUACACAAGGCCCAUCUGAUGAAUGCUGUGAUCCCAAACUUGCAAGGAGCUUGUAUAACUCAACAAUAAAAAAUGAACAACCUGGUUAAAAAUGGACCAAAGACCCGGACAGAUACCCCAACAAAGAAGAUACACAGAUGGCAAAUCUACAAGCGAAAAGGCGGCCACGUCGUAUAGCACAGGGUGACGUGCCAUUGCACAGCCAGCAGCGUGGCCAAAACCGGAACUCUGACACCGCUGAGUGCCAGUGGGCAUGUGGGGCAUCAGGACCCUCACUUGGGCAGUUGCUGGGGAACACAGCGUGGCAGUUUCCCGUGGAACCAAGCCCUCUGACCACAGGAGCAAUCACACUCCUGGACGUUUGCUCAGAGGAGCUGAAUGUUUACGUCCAUGCGGAAAUUUGCACACAGAUGUUGAUGGCGGCCUUAUUUAUAAUUGCCCAAACUUGUAAGCAGCUAAGAUGCCCUUCAACAAGCAAAUGGAUAAACUGUGGUAUGUCA